rnacentral:pre_miRNA from 1 species
UAUUAGUCUCAGCAUAAUGUUAGACUUCUAGAACAUACCCCGUUAUGGGGUAUGUUCUAGAAGUCUAACAUUAUGCUGAGACUGUUA